rnacentral:SRP_RNA from 1 species
UGAGAGGCUGGCGCGGGCAAGCGCCUUGCUAACUCGGCCAGGUCCGGAAGGAAGCAACCGUAACGAGUCCCGUUUGGGUCGCUGUCCAGUCUCUCACUU